rnacentral:lncRNA from 1 species
UGUCCUUUUAUUUACCUCGUAUUUUUCUUGACAUAAACGGGUUCAAGAAAAAGAGAUAAGCUCGAGGGUUUUAUAGUUAACGGCUAUUACUAAGUAUAGAUUGGUGGUCAGAGAAGAUGCAUCCACUUUCACAUUUACAAUGACUCUCUAGUUGCACAUGGUUAGCCAGCCACAUCGGAAGUGUCUAGUGUGUGUUGGAAAAAGACACCGACCAAUGUAAAGUUGGAAAUACAGAGCUUAAUCGACUUUCAGAAAGUACGGAUAAGGGAUAAUAGCUUUUAGUUGCUGAGGCGGAUUGAGAACUAGUUGAACCCUCCCAACUAAAUAAACUGUGUUUCUUGUCUGAUGCGGGUUGUGCUCAAGUGGUAGCUUGAUUUAGCUGGCAUGUGUCUUAUCUCCUUCCACUACAAAUUCCUUUAAGCUGUUAAGUUUCUGAUGUUAAGGUUGAUGGUUUUAUAGUUAACGGCUAUUGCUAAGUUUAGCCAAUAAUGUAAUCAUGAUGCUCAGGCAAAAAUAUUCCACAUAAAAAUUCUGGAGGAUCCCAUUUACACCAACAGUGUAAAGUAUCUCUUGGUGGUCAAUGAAGAUGCAUCCACUUUUAUAUUUAGAAUUAGAAUGAAUCUGUAGGUGCAUGUGUGUAAUCAGCCAUGUUGAAAUUGUUUACUGAUGGAAAAUGACCAAUGUAGACUGGAAAUGCAGAGCUUAAUUGGCUUUUUCAAUAUACUAUUUAUAGCAUUUGCUAAGGUAGUCUGAAUAGUUGAGAAUUAGUCGAGUCCUCCCAACUAAAUAAACCAACUCUUCUUCUUGUCUAAUGCGAGUUGUGGUAACUUGGUAGCUUGAUUUAUCUGGCAUGUGGCUGUUUGAAUAAAGAGGAUGACUGAGGGGAUUGGAAGGCGGGGCAAGGAGGAGAACAUAUUCUUCUUUCUCUUUUGGUCGGGGGUGAGGGAUUGGGAGAAUAAGAGUUACAUUACUUCACUAUUCUCCUUCGAAGAACAAAUCUAAAUAAGCUGUUAAUAGUAAGUCUUUAACCAAGUUAACUAAGAGAAAAUGAUAUUCCAAUUAUGUUUUCUUAGUAAUUGUACUACUUUAAUCCAUCAAAAUCAUCAUAACUUAAGAAAAAACUAUUAAUUUAAUCAAAGAUACUUUAAGUAUAUAGAUGAAAGGUCUUAAUAAGCCUACCUUAGCAAAUGACGUAGCAUACCAAGCUAAGCAGGGACAUCCAACUUUGUUCUGUUUCCACGAACCGAAAAGUUAUCAAUGAUUAAGUAGAUACUUUUAAGUAUAUAGAUGAAUGAUCUUAAUAAGCCUACCUUAGCAAAUGACGUAGCAUACCAAGCUAAGCAGGGACAUCCAAAUUUGUUCUGUUUCCACGAAC